CUCAUUGGGAAACGACGGAGCUGCCACUUUCAUUCCGUCCAGCUGGACACUGUCCAGUCCUUGGCAGCAUUUCAAUAUCCUUUGCAUGAACAUCAGCGAACUUAAAAAAAAAAGGGUGAGAAGGGUCACGCUUCUUCCCCGGGGCCGUAUUCAGCAUGCUCCUGCUCACAGCACAAUGAAUGGUACACAACAGCAACCUGCACCUCGUACUUCGCCCCCCUCCUCAAGGACCAAGGCCAUCAGACACAACAACUUAUUUAAAAAUUAAUUCCAAGGAUGUCGCAAGAGGAGCCCAGAGGAUUUUAUGCACCUGUUUUUUGUUCCAGUGUCAAGCUAUUUCAAAAAUAAAACCCCACUAUGACGCAGUGAGGGUUACAGAUGGCAACGUAGAGAGGGCGAUGAUGCACACAGAUUGUACAGCGAUUAGGAAGGGGAGUUGCCCCCUCUGCAUUCAACCGGAAUGCACCAAUUUCUGACACACAACGCUUAUAG
ensembl:lncRNA